AAGUCGUAACAAGGUCUCCGUUGGUGAACCAGCGGAGGGAUCAUUAGCGAGUAAAACUCUCUAACACCAUUGUGAACGAACUGCCACGUUGCUUCGGCGGGGUCAAACCCGCCGAAAGAACGCAAACUCUAUGUCAUGAUUGUAUCUCUGAGUCAACUUUUUAAUAAGUUAAAACUUUCAACAACGGAUCUCUUGGUUCUG
rnacentral:misc_RNA from 1 species